UGGUGCCAGCAGCCGCGGUAAUUCCAGCUCCAAUAGCGUAUAUUAAAGUUGUUGCAGUUAAAAAGCUCGUAGUUGAAUUUCGGGAUCAGUAGGUCGGUCAUGCCUAUGGUAUGUACUGGCUUUACUGGUUCCUCCUUCUUGAUGAUCUGUAAUGUCAUUAAUUUGGUGUUGCAGGGAGUCAGGACUGUUACUUUGAAAAAAUUAGAGUGUUUAAAGCAGGCAUACGCUUGAAUACAUUAGCAUGGAAUAAUGAAAUAGGACGUUCGAUCCUAUUUUGUUGGUUUCUAGGAUUGACGUAAUGAUUAAUAGGGAUAGUUGGGGGCAUUAGUAUUCAAUUGUCAGAGGUGAAAUUCUUGGAUUUAUUGAAGACUAACUACUGCGAAAGCAUUUGCCAAGGAUGUUUUCAUUAAUCAAGAACGAAAGUUAGGGGAUCGAAGACGAUCAGAUACCGUCGUAGUCUUAACCAUAAACUAUGCCGACUAGGGA
rnacentral:rRNA from 2 species